CGGCAGGCCUAACACAUGCAAGUCGAGCGGUAGAGAGAAGCUUGCUUCUCUUGAGAGCGGCGGACGGGUGAGUAAAGCCUAGGAAUCUGCCUGGUAGUGGGGGAUAACGUUCGGAAACGGACGCUAAUACCGCAUACGUCCUACUGGAGAAAGCAGGGGACCUUCGGGCCUUGCGCUAUCAGAUGAGCCUAGGUCGGAUUAGCUAGUUGGUGAGGUAAUGGCUCACCAAGGCGACGAUCCGUAACUGGUCUGAGAGGAUGAUCAGUCACACUGGAACUGAGACACGGUCCAGACUCCUACGGGAGGCAGCAGUGGGGAAUAUUGGACAAUGGGCGAAAGCCUGAUCCAGCCAUGCCGCGUGUGUGAAGAAGGUCUUCGGAUUGUAAAGCACUUUAAGUUGGGAGGAAGGGCAUUAACCUAAUACGUUAGUGUUUUGACGUUACCGACAGAAUAAGCACCGGCUAACUCUGUGCCAGCAGCCGCGGUAAUACAGAGGGUGCAAGCGUUAAUCGGAAUUACUGGGCGUAAAGCGCGCGUAGGUGGUUUGUUAAGUUGGAUGUGAAAUCCCCGGGCUCAACCUGGGAACUGCAUUCAAAACUGACUGACUAGAGUAUGGUAGAGGGUGGUGGAAUUUCCUGUGUAGCGGUGAAAUGCGUAGAUAUAGGAAGGAACACCAGUGGCGAAGGCGACCACCUGGACUAAUACUGACACUGAGGUGCGAAAGCGUGGGGAGCAAACAGGAUUAGAUACCCUGGUAGUCCACGCCGUAAACGAUGUCAACUAGCCGUUGGAAGCCUUGAGCUUUUAGUGGCGCAGCUAACGCAUUAAGUUGACCGCCUGGGGAGU
rnacentral:rRNA from 1 species